CUCCAUCUCUCUGUUCCAGCUUCCCUCACCCUUCUCCAGGUUCAAGAAAUAGAUCACAUAUGUUUGGCGGAUGUGGGAGAAGAUAUGGAGAACCUAGUGAAAGCAGAGAUGUGGGCAAGAUCCUAGAAAAAUGCUCCCCUCCUCCCUUUUUGGCAGUCAGGAGUUCAUGGGCCAGGAAGAAGUGGAACCAAAGAGAUGCUUUUGGACAGGGAAACCGAACACCAGGGUUCUGAGCAGAGAAGGACCUCUGGAUUUCUCCUUCCACUGCUUUGAGUCCAGCAGCUGCAGCUGCAGUAGGAUUUUUCAGCUGCUUAAAUAAUGUCCAACAGAGUGUCAGACAGAGCUGCAUAGCUGUCCCAUGGAGAUUAAAAUGUUAAAACAGAAAAACACUGGAUCUGACCUGGCUUUAACACUAUGGACGGCCACGACCAAUACCUUCUGCUCAAAGUCAUCAACAUGCUUUGUAAAAAAACCCAACUGUUUCUUUCAUCCAUCUUAAGGAAAGCCCCUGAAUACUCACCUCACAAAAAUCAUCUUUCUUUGUAACAAGGGUUUAUUGAUCAAACAAUGUACAUCUGCAUUUGCCCAGCUAUGGGUGAGGCCAGAGUUAGAGAAAUAAAGAAUAUGAAAAUA